rnacentral:rRNA from 1 species
UGCUCUUAUGAAGUUAGCGGCGGACGGGUGAGUAACACGUGGGUAACCUGCCCAUAAGACUGGGAUAACUCCGGGAAACCGGGGCUAAUACCGGAUAACAUUUUUAACCGCAUGGUUCGAAAUUGAAAGGCGGCUUCGGCUGUCACUUAUGGAUGGACCCGCGUCGCAUUAGCUAGUUGGUGAGGUAACGGCUCACCAAGGCAACGAUGCGUAGCCGACCUGAGAGGGUGAUCGGCCACACUGGGACUGACACACGGCCCAGACUCCUACGGGAGGCAGCAGUAGGGAAUCUUCCGCAAUGGACGAAAGUCUGACGGAGCAACGCCGCGUGAGUGAUGAAGGCUUUCGGGUCGUAAAACUCUGUUGUUAGGGAAGAACAAGUGCUAGUUGAAUAAGCUGGCACCUUGACGGUACCUAACCAGAAAGCCACGGCUAACUACGUGCCAGCAGCCGCGGUAAUACGUAGGUGGCAAGCGUUAUCCGGAAUUAUUGGGCGUAAAGCGCGCGCAGGUGGUUUCUUAAGUCUGAUGUGAAAGCCCACGGCUCAACCGUGGAGGGUCAUUGGAAACUGGGAGACUUGAGUGCAAAAGAGGAAAGUGGAAUUCCAUGUGUAGCGGUGAAAUGCGUAGAGAUAUGGAGGAACACCACUGGCGAAGGCGACUUUCUGGUCUGUAACUGACACUGAAAGGCGUGGGGGAGCCAACAGGAUUAGAUACCCUGGUAGUUCACGCCGUAAAUGAUGAGUGAUAAGUGGUAGAGGGUUUUCGCCCUUUAAUGCUGAAGUUAACGCAUUAAACAAUCCGCCUGGGGAGUACGGCCGCAAGGGUGAAACUCAAAGGAAUUGACGGGGGCCCGCACAAGCGGUGGAGCAUGUGGUUUAAUUCGAAGC